rnacentral:rRNA from 2 species
GUUGCCAGCGAUUAGGUCGGGAACUCAAAGGAGACUGCCAGUGAUAAACUGGAGGAAGGUGGGGAUGACGUCAAGUCAUCAUGGCCCUUACGACCAGGGCUACACACGUGCUACAAUGGCGCAUACAAAGAGAAGCGACCUCGCGAGAGCAAGCGGACCUCAUAAAGUGCGUCGUAGUCCGGAUUGGAGUCUGCAACUCGACUCCAUGAAGUCGGAAUCGCUAGUAAUCGUGGAUCAGAAUGCCACGGUGAAUACGUUCCCGGGCCUUGUACACACCGCCCGUCACACCAUGGGAGUGGGUUGCAAAAGAAGUAGGUAGCUUAACCUUCGGGAGGGCGCUUACCACUUUGUGAUUCAUGACUGGGGUGAAGUCGUAACAAGGUAACCGUAGGGGAACCUGCGGUUGGAUCACCUCCUUACCUUAAAGAA